CUCCUAUCAAUUCAGAUUCUCUGCACUGGUUUUGCUUUGUUUCCUUUGUUGAUGUUCUGCAGAUUCUCUCCACACUUGUUGUAACUCUCUUCUUCUUCUUCUUCUUCUUCUUCUUCUUUGUUUGCACAGUAGCUUGGUAAACUAAGGUGAAACUGAAAGAGACAGAGGGGAAAAGGAGAGAGAGAGAAGGAAAAAUAAUGUUAUAAAAAUUGUAUUUAAAUUAAGUUGUUAUGUUCUGACCCUUAGAUUGAUUAGUAGCCACGUGUCAUUCAUCUAAAAUAAAAAUGGAGAUAACUGGAGACUUAAAAACGGGAGAGGAGCCGCUCCCGUUUAUACCAUGAUCUUAUUUAAAUUUAAUGGAAUCAGAAGCAAUAGAAUUAGAGCCGAGUAAAAGCAGGUUGAUUGAAAGUGGGACCACAAACACUCUUUUGUUUAUCACGUGUGUGGCUGGCAGUCAAGUAAUAAUAAUAAAAGCCUAAAAAUUGCGUAGGUUAGAUUAGAGAGCAGAGGUUGUCGUUUGUCGAACCAAAAAAAGAAAAGAAAAGAAAAGAAAAGAAAUCUAUCUUCCUGGCUGCAGCCUCCAGUGUUGGAUCUCAUCCACUCUCUCUCAAUCGGGUCAGGAUGGGGAUCGAAUUUCAUUACUAUGGAAGAACUAUUGACCAACAAAGGAGGAUGAAAUUCAACAUGCUAUGACUCCUUGGCCACUAUGAAGGACUAACUCAAACCAUAAUUCCUAGUUCAUAGCUUUCCAGUUGGUGUGAUAAAAUUACCACCACUGGUUUUUCUGGACUUGUGCAGAAUUGCCAUUCACUAGAGACACUAAGAUGCAGGUUGACAGCAAGAGCAUCAUCCUGGGCAGCCGCAGUGUUUUCCUCAGCAGCAAUAGUAACGUUCCCACUUGUUUGACCUGCUCAAACAAGUGCACACAUUAACCGGACUAUUUUUCUUAAAUUAAAAAAUAAAUUGAUUUAUUGCAUGAGUAGGAUAUUUAAACCUUUUGCUUCAGCAAUGUGUCUUGUUAUUCCCUUUGAAUUACCUAUUAGUGAUAAUUUUAAUGGUUAGAGAUUCUUUAUAAUGGA